rnacentral:rRNA from 1 species
AAAUUGAGAGUUUGAUCCUGGCUCAGGAUGAACGCUGGCGGCGUGCCUAAUACAUGCAAGUCGAACGCUUUGUGGUUCAACUGAUUUGAAGAGCUUGCUCAGAUAUGACGAUGGACAUUGCAAAGAGUGGCGAACGGGUGAGUAACACGUGGGAAACCUACCUCUUAGCAGGGGAUAACAUUUGGAAACAGAUGCUAAUACCGUAUAACAAUGACAACCGCAUGGUUGUUAUUUGAAAGAUGGUUCUGCUAUCACUAAGAGAUGGUCCCGCGGUGCAUUAGCUAGUUGGUAAGGUAAUGGCUUACCAAGGCGAUGAUGCAUAGCCGAGUUGAGAGACUGAUCGGCCACAAUGGGACUGAGACACGGCCCAUACUCCUACGGGAGGCAGCAGUAGGGAAUCUUCCACAAUGGGCGAAAGCCUGAUGGAGCAACGCCGCGUGUGUGAUGAAGGGUUUCGGCUCGUAAAACACUGUUGUAAGAGAAGAAUGACAUUGAGAGUAACUGUUCAAUGUGUGACGGUAUCUUACCAGAAAGGAACGGCUAAAUACGUGCCAGCAGCCGCGGUAAUACGUAUGUUCCAAGCGUUAUCCGGAUUUAUUGGGCGUAAAGCGAGCGCAGACGGUUAUUUAAGUCUGAAGUGAAAGCCCUCAGCUCAACUGAGGAAUUGCUUUGGAAACUGGAUGACUUGAGUGCAGUAGAGGAAAGUGGAACUCCAUGUGUAGCGGUGAAAUGCGUAGAUAUAUGGAAGAACACCAGUGGCGAAGGCGGCUUUCUGGACUGUAACUGACGUUGAGGCUCGAAAGUGUGGGUAGCAAACAGGAUUAGAUACCCUGGUAGUCCACACCGUAAACGAUGAGUGCUAGGUGUUUGAGGGUUUCCGCCCUUAAGUGCCGCAGCUAACGCAUUAAGCACUCCGCCUGGGGAGUACGACCGCAAGGUUGAAACUCAAAGGAAUUGACGGGGACCCGCACAAGCGGUGGAGCAUGUGGUUUAAUUCGAAGCAACGCGAAGAACCUUACCAGGUCUUGACAUCCCUUGACAACUCCAGAGAUGGAGCGUUCCCUUCGGGGACAAGGUGACAGGUGGUGCAUGGUUGUCGUCAGCUCGUGUCGUGAGAUGUUGGGUUAAGUCCCGCAACGAGCGCAACCCUUAUUACUAGUUGCCAGCAUUCAGUUGGGCACUCUAGUGAGACUGCCGGUGACAAACCGGAGGAAGGUGGGGAUGACGUCAAAUCAUCAUGCCCCUUAUGACCUGGGCUACACACGUGCUACAAUGGCGUAUACAACGAGUUGCCAACCCGCGAGGGUGAGCUAAUCUCUUAAAGUACGUCUCAGUUCGGAUUGUAGGCUGCAACUCGCCUACAUGAAGUCGGAAUCGCUAGUAAUCGCGGAUCAGCACGCCGCGGUGAAUACGUUCCCGGGUCUUGUACACACCGCCCGUCACACCAUGAGAGUUUGUAACACCCAAAGCCGGUGGGGUAACCUUCGGGAGCCAGCCGUCUAAGGUGGGACAGAUGAUUAGGGUGAAGUCGUAACAAGGUAGCCGUAGGAGAACCUGCGGCUGGAUCACCUCCUUUCUAAGGAA